rnacentral:pre_miRNA from 1 species
AUCCGUGCAGAGAUUUCGUCAGACACCAACCCAUUAGGGCUGAUAAAACUUCCAAGAU